rnacentral:rRNA from 1 species
UACGUAGGAGGCGAGCGUUGUCCGGAAUUAUUGGGCGUAAAGAGCUCGUAGGCGGUUUGUCGCGUCUGCUGUGAAAACUCAGGGCUUAACCCUGAGCCUGCAGUGGGUACGGGCAGACUAGAGUGUGGUAGGGGAGAUCGGAAUUCCUGGUGUAGCGGUGGAAUGCGCAGAUAUCAGGAGGAACACCGGUGGCGAAGGCGGAUCUCUGGGCCAUAACUGACGCUGAGGAGCGAAAGCAUGGGGAGCGAACAGG